rnacentral:rRNA from 1 species
UACGGAGGGUGCAAGCGUUGUUCGGAUUUACUGGGCGUAAAGCGCGCGCAGGUGGAUGGACAAGUCGGAAGUGAAAUCUUGAGGCUCAACCUCGAGGCUGCUCCCGAAACUGUUCGUCUAGGGACUGGUAGAGGCUGGUAGAAUUCCCGGUGUAGAGGUGAAAUUCGUAGAUAUCGGGAGGAACACCGGUGGCGAAGGCGGCGAUCUGGGUCGAUACUGACGCUGAGGUGCGAAAGCGUGGGGAGCAAACAGG